UAGAAGGGAGAGAGGUAGAGAAAAGGGAUUAGGGAGAGAGAUUAGAAGGGUGAGGAACGAGAAAGGGAGAAAGAAGGAUUAUAAUUAAGCAGAAUCAACAGCCAUUGGUAAAUAUAUUAACUCUGAAUGAGGAACAGGAAAGAGAGGAAAGAAUUAGAAUUAAGCAGAAUUAGCAACCAUUUCCCUUCCACCUCCUCCUCAGGGCUGCGGAGGGAGGGAGAGAAACAGCCAGGUGGUGGAGGAAAGUUCCCUACCUUCCCUCCACACACAUAGGGAGGAGGUGGAGGAAAGGGAGAUAUGGAGGAAAGUUCUCUCCACUUGCCUCCCACCGCAUCCUCAGGGCCGUGGAGGGAGGGAGAGAAACAGCCAGGUGGUGGAGGAAAGUUCCCUACCUUCCCUCCACACACAAAGGGAGGAGGUGGAGGAAAGGGAGAUAUGGAGGAAAGUUCUCUCCACUUCCCUCCUUACCUCCCACCUCCUCCUCAGGGCCGCGGAGGGAGGGAGAGAAACAGCCAGGUGGUGGAGGAAAGUUCCCUACCUUCCCUCCACACACAAAGGGAGGAGGUGGAGGAAAGGGAGAUAUGGAGGAAAGUUCUCUCCACUUCCCUCCUUACCUCCCACCUCCUCCUCAGGGCCGCGGAGGGAGGGAGAGAAAAGGCCAGGUGGUGGAGGAAAGUUCCCUACCUUCCCUCCACACACAAAGGGAGGAGGUGGAGGAAAGGGAGAUAUGGAGGAAGCUUCUCUCCACUUCCCUCCAUAUC